rnacentral:rRNA from 1 species
GGCUCAGGAUAAACGCGGGCGGCGUGCAUGAGACAUGCAAGUCGAACGGACGAUCAGGGCUUGCUCUGAUCGUUAGUGGCGGACGGCUGAGUAACGCGUAGGUGACCUGCCCCGAAGUGGGGAAUAACUGCCCGAAAGGGUGGCUAAUACCGCAUGUGGUGGUGUGUUCAUUCACACCAGUAAAGCCGCAAGGCGCUUCGGGAGGGGCCUGCGUCCGAUUAGCUCGUUGGUGGGGUAACGGCUCACCAAGGCGACGAUCGGUAGGUGGUCUGAGAGGACGAUCACCCAGACUGGGACUGAGACACGGCCCAGACUCCUACGGGAGGCAGCAGUCGGGAAUUUUGCGCAAUGGGCGAAAGCCUGACGCAGCAACGCCGCGUGAGGGAUGACGGCCUUCGGGUUGUAAACCUCUUUUAUCAGGGAAGAUAAUGACGGUACCUGAUGAAUAAGUCACGGCUAACUACGUGCCAACAGCCGCGGUAAUACGUAGGUGACAAGCGUUGUCCGGAUUUACUGGGCGUAAAGAGCGCGCAGGCGGUCGUUCAAGUCGAGUGUGAAAGCCCCCGGCUCAACUGGGGAGGGUCAUUCGAUACUGAUCGACUCGAAGGCAGGAGAGGGAAGUGGAAUUCCCGGUGUAGUGGUGAAAUGCGUAGAUAUCGGGAGGAACACCAGUGGCGAAGGCGACUUCCUGGCCUGUUCUUGACGCUGAGGCGCGAAAGCUAGGGGAGCAAACGGGAUUAGAUACCCCGGUAGUCCUAGCCGUAAACGAUGGACACUAGGUGUUGGUGGUAUCAACCCCGCCAGUGCCGAAGCUAACGCAUUAAGUGUCCCGCCUGGGGAGUACGGCCGCAAGGCUAAAACUCAAAG